ACAAAAAAAUUAAAUUGUUUAACAAGCAAUUUUACAUUUGCACAGGAUUUAUUUUCCAUAGUAAAUCAACAGUUAUUCAGUUAAAACAUUUUGGGCAAAAACAUGGAUUGCAGAUUUCUGAAGAUAGUAAGAUUCGACAUAAAAUGUAAGUUUGGCAAAUAAAUUGGAAUUAAAUUCGGGUCAAUUUUGAAUCCCUUUACAUAAUAUUCAUAAUUCUGCAAAGAAGUAAAAUGUAAUUAUGUAUGCGAAUAAAUUCUCUUAAAUCAAACCUUUUUAAAUGGACAGUUCAAUGGCUUUGCAAACGUCGAAGUCAAUGGUGAAGUAAUUAAUGAACUUGUCAGUGAAUUUAAAGUUUAAAUUGAAUGUUCC